UACCUACGGGACGCAGCAGUGAGGAAUAUUGGUCAAUGGGCGCAAGCCUGAACCAGCCAAGUCGCGUGAGGGAUGACGGUCCUAUGGAUUGUAAACCUCUUUUGUCGGGGAGCAAGGCCCGCCACGUGUGGCGGGAAGGAGAGUACCCGAAGAAAAAGCAUCGGCUAACUCCGUGCCAGCAGCCGCGGUAAUACGGAGGAUGCGAGCGUUAUCCGGAUUUAUUGGGUUCAAAGGGUGCGCAGGCGGCGAGUUAAGUCAGCGGUAAAAUUUCGGGGCUCAACCCCGACAAGCCGUUGCAACUGGCU
rnacentral:rRNA from 1 species